rnacentral:rRNA from 1 species
GGUUGAUCCUGCCAGUAGUCAUAUGCUUGUCUCAAAGAUUAAGCCAUGCAUGUCUAAGUAUAAACAAUUCUAUACUGUGAAACUGCGAAUGGCUCAUUAAAUCAGUUAUAGUUUAUUUGAUAAUACCUACUACUUGGAUAACCGUGGUAAUUCUAGAGCUAAUACAUGCAAAAAAACCCGACUUCUGGAAGGGUUGUAUUUAUUAGAUACAAAACCAAUGCGGGGCAACCCGGUUUUUGGUGAUUCAUAAUAACUUCGCGAAUCGCAUGACCUUGUGUCGGCGAUGAUUCAUU